UUCGCAAUGCCCGAAAGGGUGACGAAGCGACGCCGAGUGUGGGAAGAAGGCCUUCGGGUUGUAAACCACUGUCGGGAGUUAAGAAAUGCAAGAACGUUAAUAGCGUUUUUGCUUGACUAAGGCUCCGGAGGAAGCCACGGCUAACUCUGUGCCAGCAGCCGCGGUAAUACAGAGGCGGCAAGCGUUGUUCGGAAUUAUUGGGCGUAAAGAGCACGUAGGCGGCUAUAUAAGUCGGUUGUGAAAGCCUUCCGCUCAACGGGAGAACAGCAUCCGAUACUGUAUGGCUUGAGUGUGGGAGGGGAGAGCGGAACUUCUGGUGGAGCGGUGAAAUGCGUAGAUAUCAGAAGGAACGCCGGCGGCGAAAGCGGCUCUCUGGCCCAUAACUGACGCUGAGUGUGCGAAAGCUAGGGGAGCAAACGGGAUUAGAUACCCCGGUAGUCCUAGCCGUAAAC
rnacentral:rRNA from 1 species